rfam:Phormidium tenue NIES-30 NIES-30_Scaffold_7, whole genome shotgun sequence.
GGAGAGGUGGCAGAGUGGUCGAAUGCGCCCGACUUGAAAUCGGGUGUCCGCAAGGACCGAGGGUUCGAAUCCCUCCCUCUCCG